rnacentral:rRNA from 1 species
GACGGAGGGGGCAAGCGUUGUCCGGACUUACUGGGCGUAAAGCGCACGUAGGCGGUCUGCUGCGUCGGUGCUGAAAGCGCCCCGCUUAACGGGGCGAGGCGUGCCGAUACGAGCGGACUGGAGGCAGGCAGAGGGUGGCGGAAUUCCGGGUGUAGUGGUGAAAUGCGUAGAGAUCCGGAGGAACGCCGGUGGCGCAAGCGGCCACCUGGGCCUGACCUGACGCUGAGGUGCGAAAGCGUGGGGAGCGAACCGG